rnacentral:lncRNA from 1 species
GGGGGGGGAGGGGCUGAAUACUGGAUUCAUGCUGUCUCGAGGGGCCACAGACCACCACUCUCCAGCCAGAGGAUUAUAGAGGCAUAGGCAACCGGGAAAGUGCCACCUCUGAUGCCGAAAGCACCGCGACACACUGCAACAAGCCAUGCCCGCCAUUGAUGCCACCAGCAGAGGCCGCAAUACAUUCACAACGGUGUCGAUGCCCUAGAUCUAACACACCCAAGAACCAGAAAUCAAAGCCAAGCAAUGAUGCCUCGCCGCUGCUGUCCUUGGUAGCUGUGUUGGCUUUCCCGUCAGCGACCUCAUGCGGCACCGAGAAGGAGAGUUGGUGGUGAAAGGAGGGCAUGUGGCGACCAAGGUCAGGGGGUUGCUCAAGUCGCCCAG